rnacentral:rRNA from 1 species
AGCGAACGCUGGCGGUAGGCCUAACACAUGCAAGUCGAACGGCAGCACAGUAAGAGCUUGCUCUUACGGGUGGCGAGUGGCGGACGGGUGAGGAAUACAUCGGAAUCUACUUUUUCGUGGGGGAUAACGUAGGGAAACUUACGCUAAUACAGCAUACGACCUACGGGUGAAAGCAGGGGAUCUUCAGACCUUGCGCGAUUGAAUGAGCCGAUGUGGGAUUAGCUAGUUGGCGGGGUAAAGGCCUACGACGGCGACGAUCCGUAGCUGGUCUGAGAGGAUGAGCACCGACACCUGGAGGGAGACACGGUCGGGAAUCUUGGGCGAGGGAGCAGAGGCGGAUCCAGGCCUACCGGCGAAGGGAUGAAGGACCUCUGGUUGGAGAGUGCUGUUGUUCGGAAAGAAAAACAGCAGGUUUAUACCCCGCUGUUCUGACGGUACCCAAAGAAUAAGCACCGGCUAACUUCGUG